rnacentral:rRNA from 1 species
AAAGGAAUUGACGGGCACCCGCACAAGCGGUGGAGCAUGCUGUUUAAUUCGACGAUACGCGAAGAACCUUACCUAGACUUGACAUCCCUGGCAAAGCUAUAGAAAUAUAGUGGAGGUUACCCAGGUGACAGGUGGUGCAUGGUUGUCGUCAGCUCGUGUCGUGAGAUGUUCGGUUAAGUCCGCUAACGAGCGCAACCCUUAUCCUUAGUUGCUAACAUUAAGUUGAGAACCCUAAGGAGACUGCCGGUGACAAACCGGAGGAAGGUGGGGAUGACGUCAAAUCAUCAUGCCCCUUACGUCUAGGGCUACAGGCGUGCUAUAAUGGCCGAUACAAUAAGAAGCAAUACUGUGAAGUGGAGCAAAUCUGUAAAGUCGGUCUCAGUUCGGAUUGAAGUCUGCAACUCGACUUCAUGAAGCUAGAAUCGCUAGUAAUCCCAAAUCAGAAUGUUGGGGUGAAUACGUUCCCGGGUGUUGUACACACCGCCCGU